rnacentral:rRNA from 1 species
AGAGUUUGAUCCUGGCUCAGAACGAACGCUGGCGGCGUGGCUAAGACAUGCAAGUCGUACGGACCGCGGUAGCAAUAUUGCGGUUAGUGGCGAAAGGGUGAGUAAUGCAUGGGUAACGUACCCUGAACUCGGGGAUAACAGCGGGAGCAAUCCCUUUAGCGAAAGUGCUGCUAAUACCCGAUGAAGUCGCCGGGUCGCAUGACCGGGCGACCAAAGGUGGGGACCGCAAGGCCUGCCGGCUUGGGAGCGGCCCAUGUCCUAUCAGCUAGUUGGUGAGGUAACGGCUUACCAAGGCUAUGACGGGUAGCCGGACUGAGAGGUCGAUCGGCCACAUCGGGACUGAGACACUGCCCGGACACCUACGGGUGGCUGCAGUAACGAAUAUUGGGCAAUGGGCGCAAGCCUGACCCAGCGACGCCGCGUGCAGGAGGAAGUCCUUCGGGAUGUAAACUGCUGUCAGGGGCUAGCAAGCAAAGGGUGUUAACAGCAUCCGGCGUUGAGCCGCCCCAGAGGAAGCCUCGACUAACUCUGUGCCAGCAGUCGCGGUAAGACAGAGGAGGCAAGCGUUGUUCGGAAUCACUGGGCUUAAAGCGCGUGUAGGCGGCGGCGCAAGUGUCGUGUGAAAUCCCACGGCUCAACCGUGGAACUGCACGGCAAACUACGUCGCUUGAGGUUGGUAGAGGUGCCUGGAACUCUCGGUGGAGCGGUGAAAUGCGUUGAUAUCGAGAGGAACGCCGGAAGCGAAAGCGAGGCACUGGGCCGAUUCUGACGCUGAGACGCGAAAGCGUGGGGAGCAAACAGGGUUAGAUACCCUGGUAGUCCACGCUGUAAACG